AAAACAGGAAUCAUUUUGAGGUGACGCCUCAGCAGCUCCCCACCAGGCUCUCUGAUAAAGGAAGCAUCUGCAGGGGCUGCAGAGCAGGGGGAUGUAGCCUGAAGUCAGUGAAUUGUUUGCUCGUUUGCUUCCUAGGGUCUAGGCUAGGCACAGAGGGGUUUUGGCUACCUCCUUUCUCAACUCAGGCACAGCCAUCUGCUCGACUCAACAAGCAGAAAAUCCACCCCCAGGAAACGUGAAUUUAUUUGUGGAUAUGUGAUGAAUCCCACAGCUUUGCUUCUUGUGGAGAUCCAGUAACCCGAACCAUGCCACAAGGCUGUCCUCUGGGUGGAUGUCACCCCUGCCCCACCAGCAGCAUAAAAACCUCAAGUUCCAGCCUUGAACAUAGGAAACCAGGGAGGAAGCCCAUCAGCGAGUGUCAUCUGUUAAUAGCCGGGGCUACCCGUUUGCACUGGAGGAAGGCAGAGUGAGUCGAGGAGCACGGAACAGCAAGGGACACCCCCAUCGGUAAUCCUGAUAUUCUGCUAAUGUGUAUUCCUAGUGGCCAUGGC
rnacentral:lncRNA from 1 species